rnacentral:rRNA from 1 species
AUGACCACCUCUCAGCCCAAGAAGUGGUGUUCCUGGUUACCCUUAGCUGAGUUUUGGUACAACACCACCUAUCACACUGCUUUGAAAAUAUCCCCUUUCCAGGCCUUGUAUGGUUUUCCUCCACCAAUGAUAUCUGAACUGGCCAUUCCUGGCCCUAAAGAAGAGGAGGCUCAGAAUUUCCUGGCUGCUAAACAGGAUAUGUUGGAACAAUUAAAAGAAAACUUGCAACAAGCUCAGAACAGGAUGAAGAAGUAUGCUGACUUAAAGAGGAGUGGAAGAGUUUUUGAAGUGGGAGAUAUGGUGUAUUUGAAGAUGGCACCAUACAGAUUAGCAGCUUUUGGAUUUAGAGGCGCACUCAAACUACAAAACAAGUACUAUUGCCCUUUUCUGAUCACACAAAAUAUUGGCAAGUGGGCUUACAAACUACAGUUUCCUGCACAUGUGCAGAUUCAUCCUGUUUUCCAUGUCAGUCAGUUGAAAAAGCACAUUGGUGCUAAAUCCAUUCCCAGUCCAAACCUACCUAUGGUAGCAGCUGAUGGUACAAUAAAAACAGGACCUGCAGCAGUGCUUCAAGUCAGACAAGUACCGAGGCACAACCUACCGGUGGUUCAGUGGUUCAUUCAAUGA